CUACGUAGGGAGCGAGCGUUGUCCGGAAUUACUGGGCGUAAAGGGCGCGUAGGCGGCGCUUCAAGUCGUCUGUCAAAUGGAAGGGCUUGACCCUUUUUCGCAGACGAAACUGGAGAGCUUGAGAAGCAGAGAGGCAAACAGAAUUCCUGGUGUAGCGGUGAAAUGCGUAGAUAUCAGGAAGAAUACCAGUGGCGAAGGCGGUUUGCUGGCUGCAUACUGACGCUGAAGCGCGAAAGCCAGGGGAGCGAACGGGAUUAGAUACCCCGGUAGUCCUGGCAGUAAACGAUGUAUGCUGGGUGUGAGACUAGCGAUAGUUUCGUGCCGAAGUUAACGCGAUAAGCAUACCGCCUGGGGAGUACGGUCGCAAGAUUGAAACUCAAAUGAAUUGACGGGG
rnacentral:rRNA from 1 species